rnacentral:rRNA from 1 species
GUGUCAGCCGCCGCGGUAAUACUAGGGGUGCGAGCGUUGUCUGGAAUCACUGGGCGUAAAGGGUCCGUAGGCGUCCCAAUAAGUCAUUUGUUAAAUUCACCGGCUUAACCGGUGGCCUGCAUUUGAAACUGUUGGGAUAGAGUAUAGGAGAGGAAAGUGGAAUUCCUGGUGUAGCGGUGACAUGCGUAGAUAUCAGGAGGAACACCAAUGGCGAAGGCAACUUUCUGGCCUAUCACUGACGCUGAGGGACGAAAGCGUGGGGAGCAAACAGGAUUAGAUACCCUGGUAGUCCACGCCGUAAACGAUGAGUACUUGGUGCCGGGGGAAUCGACCCCUUCGGUACCGGAGCUAACGCGUUAAGUACUCCGCCUGGGAACUACGACCGCAAGGUUGAA